UACGUAGGGGGCAAGCGUUGUCCGGAAUCAUUGGGCGUAAAGAGCGUGUAGGCUGCCCGAUCAGUCUGGUGUGAAAUCUUGGGGGCUCAACCCCAAGCUGUCAUUGGAUACUGUCGGGCUAGAGUCCGGAAGAGGAGAGUGGAAUUCCUGGUGUAGCGGUGGAAUGCGCAGAUAUCAGGAGGAACACCUAUGGCGAAGGCAGCUCUCUGGUACGGUACUGACGCUGAGACGCGAAAGCGUGGGGAGCGAACAGG
rnacentral:rRNA from 1 species